rnacentral:piRNA from 1 species
UAACUGACCCUCUCGCCAACAUUUCAUAAG